rnacentral:sRNA from 1 species
GCUGGGCCUGGUGGCUCAUGCCUGUAAUCCCAGCAACUCAGGAGGCUGAGGCAGGAGGAUAGCAAGUCUGAGGCCAGCCUCAGCAAUUUAGCGAGAUCCUCAGCAACAUAGUCCAACACUGUCUCAA